UUCGAAGAGACACACACCCCUUACUCAAAACGAUUCAGGGUCAUCCUCUUGAGACACUCUCUAUCCAUCACUCAGGAUUUAAUCUCAGUCUAUCACUCUCCAAGUAAUCAAUCGGUUCCAUCGAAUUUACUCUGUUUCCAUCGAUCUACAGUCUCUCAUCCAGAGUAAAUUGGAUAAAAGGCUAUGGGGUCCAGUUAGGCAUCUUGAAUCUUUACAACGACAUGCUAAACCUAGAGAACACUAUGCAGAUUUAAGACAUAAGGAGAGGCAUGCAAUUGAGAUUUUAAUUCCUGAUAACCACAUCCGCUUGCUCUGAUGCUUAUUAAGUUGAAGGUGCGAUGAUGUUAACUUACAAAGAACAUGUUCCAUCUCAAAUUACUCUCCCCUUGACAAUGCAAAAGAAAAGAAGAUUAUAAGAGAGGAAAUCAGCUCGUGCUUAAAAUUCAACCAAAUCAAAAAAAACCAUCAUCGAAGGGGCUGUCCAAAGGCAUACCAUUUGCUUGUAUCAAGUAAGGUGAAGCGUUUUUUAAAUCUGAAGCUAAAAGAAACCAUUGUAUGUUGCUGUUCAU